AUUUAUUUACGAAAUUACUAUUUUCAAGAAAGGUUAACUAUUAAUGUUAUCACCCUUGAAAUAUAUGGUACGUAAUAAAUAAUAGGAAUUUCAUCUCAAUAUGGAAAAUGUAAGACAUAUAAUAAAGUGGUUAUGCAAGGAAAGAGGUCCAAAGAAGAUAUCAGUCAGAAAAAUUGCAGCCGUGUUAUAUGGUAUCAUUUCAUGGAAUAUGGUUAUAUAUAUCCUGUAUUGUAAAGCAAAGGAGGACGGAGUCUUAGGAUUUGAAGACCAAAAAUCUAAACUAAUCAGUCACCGCCCAGAUGCGAAUAUCCAUGUGAUACGUGGUAAACAAUUCAAAGUAGUAGAACAAGAAGCAAUAGUUCCGGAAAGUGUUUAAUCUAAAGAAAUAUCUGAAGAAAUAUCUGACAGUUAUUACUAAUUUAUUAAAUGAUAAUUUAUAAAAUAGAUUAAAAAAAAUAUAAUUUUACUAGGUUUAUCCUA